AGGGUUUGAAACGUAAAAAAAAUUCGGUUUUUUUGUUUAUUCACAAGGGGCUGGUUGUAAUUUCAAUAGCCUUUUAGGUUACUUUUGAUUUUGAUUCAAGUUUGGGUUUACCUUUGUGUUUGAAAUCAAGUUGUGAGUCAUAUUUGGCAAUUUUCCCUAGUAGAAAAGUAACAAUGCAUAUAUCAAACUUGGUAAUAUUUCUUUUCAUAAUUGUUGCCCGCUCUCCCAAUUCUUAAUUACCCGAUGGUUAA
rnacentral:lncRNA from 1 species